rnacentral:rRNA from 1 species
UACAGAGGUCUCAAGCGUUGUUCGGAUUCAUUGGGCGUAAAGGGUGCGUAGGCGGCGCGGUAAGUCGGGUGUGAAAUCUCGGAGCUUAACUUCGAAACUGCAUUCGAUACUGCCGUGCUUGAGGACUGGAGAGGAGACUGGAAUUUACGGUGUAGCGGUGAAAUGCGUAGAUAUGACAUAGAACACCAAUUGCGAAGGCAGCUUACUACACAGUUAUUGACGCUGAGGCACGAAAGCGUGGGGAUCAAACAGG